UUCCCCUGAUGUAGCAUGACUCAACUCAGCAAAAACCAAACCAAAGUUGCAUUAGCAUCUUUAAUUCCCUUUAGGUCCUUCCAAUGGAUUUUGAAUCCCUGCCCUCAUAUGUCAAAGAAGUAAAAAUUUCAAAUCAGUUCACAAAACAAAUUAUGAAACACCUCAAAAAUGAGUCUAACAAACUAGAUUUUGACCAGUAUUAAUAUGAACAUAUGCACCAACUUGAACAGCAUAUUCACACCUUACAAGUUGAAUCAAAAUAGAAAUCAAGUUUAACUACUACAUUGUUAUCUUUCCAAUUCCAACCAACGAUGUCCUUGAUUUCAAAUCACAUGCCUGUCCACACUUAUAACCACCCAAUCGCUACCACUAUACAAAAUCCUUACACAAUUACUUAAACAAUUAUAUGAGCAAAUACACAUUUGUACGAUUAAUUUUAAAAAAGGUAAUUUAACACACAAGUAAAUCUAAAGAACCAAAAAAUCUCACAUUUCAGAGUUUAAACUUCACCAGUGCAGUUUGAGAAUGCUACGAAUAGCAAACAAGGCAUCUUUGACGCGAGAAGAGUUCNNNNNACAACGUUCCAGUAACAGUUGCAAAAGCCCACGACAACUCUUUGAGAUCAUAUAGAGCGCUUCAUCAUCAACAUCUGUACGUGACAAGUUCAAUACCUCCAGUUUGGGAACUUCAAAG
rnacentral:lncRNA from 1 species